AAAUGGGAAGAUGUUGAAGAAGUUCGGAGAACUAUGAGACACCGAGGAGUGAGAAAAGAACCAGGGUGCAGUUGGAUUGAAGUGAAUAAGCAAAUCCAUACCUUUAUUGUGGGUGAUGAUUCACACCCACAAAUAGAUAAUAUUAAGAAACAGCUCAACCAGUUGAUUCAUGGAUUAAUUAGCAUGGGCUAUGUUCCAGACACAAAUUUUGUCUUACACGACCUUGAGGGAGAAGAAAGGGAGGAUUCAUUGAGAUACCAUAGUGAGAAAUUUGCAAUUGCCUUUGGAAUAAUGAGCUUGUCCAAGGGGAAAACUAUUCGGAUCAGAAAAAACCUUAGGAUAUGUGGGGACUGUCAUAUUUUUGCUAAACUCACAUCAAAGCUAGAAAAACGCACCAUUGUGAUAAGAGAUCCCAUUCGCUACCAUCAUUUCCACAAUGGAAUGUGCUCCUGCAGGGACUACUGGUAGCUCUAACACAUUGUAAACAUGUUCGAAUUUUAUGUUUGGAGGCUUGCGAUGUGGUGGUAUUCUUUCGCUGCUUCUUUACAAUUAUAACACGGCAGAGCUAAAUGGAGAAAGAAAAAAUGGGAACAGUGUAAAUCUUUAUGACAAAAACAUGCAAGUUAAUAAUUGCAAUGCCUCUGUACAUACCCAAGAAUCCUUUGUCCUUCUCUCCAUCUUCCUCUUAGAGCUCCCUUUCUUUUUUUUCCCUUGUCUCAGGUUUCCAUAGCCGUCACAGAACAAUCUCUCACUUCUCUAUUCUGAUAUUUAUUGUAAAAUGAUUUUUUUGAGAGGAAAAAAGAAUUUCCAUAAAAAUCCUUUACACAAAAUACAACAUAUAUAUGCUGUUCCCAAGAUCACUUCAUGGACAGAUAACCUUUCAACAAAAUAUUACUAUGAGCCUGGUUUUGUUAUAGUUGAGAAUUCCAUUAGUUUUCAUACUAUCCUGCAUUUGCAAUUCUCUGUUUUGAUUUUCUGUUUGAUGCAUCCCCAGGUAAAGUGACUGCUAUUCUUUUAUUUGCAGUUUACUUUGAAAGAGAAGUCUGAUAAACAUUUAUCGUAGUGGCUUUUUCUUCUUGAUCAUUUUUUGCAUCUUGUUUCCGAUCAUGAUAACAGGGACGUUAUUUAUGUUUAUACUCUCAGUUGAAGACUUUGAUUCAAGUGUCGGUAUCUGCCCAUCUUUAAGUUCUGGAAUCAACAAUCUCUAAUUCCUUUUGAGAUCACCCCAUGCCAACACCUCAUCUGUUGCAGAACUGGAGACAGCACAAGAAAGAUUUAGAUAUAAAGGGCAGCCAACAAUAACUUUGUCUCUUACUUGAACAAUCUUCUUCUACAACCCCUUGAACUACCCGGCGCCAACAAGUCAUCUGUUACAGAAUUAGGGACAACACAAGAAAGGUUUAGGUGAGUGACCUUCUAACUUCUAUGCAUUAAAGAAGAAAAUGACUGAGGGAUUCUUCUUCCUGCAGACAUAAAUGGCAGCCAACAAUAACUUUAUCCUCUUAUCUAGUUGUCCAUAGUUAGGUUUCUACCCCAAGCCGCUUCCCAAGCAAAGAAGCAAUAUGUCAGGAGGCCUUCUUCUAUUCUAAUAUUUCUGUCGUGUUUCCAGAACACCAUAAAAGUGGACAUUAGCUUCAUUUCUAGAUUGAGUUCCUCUUGCUGGUGUAUUUAGUCCAGGCCUCCAUCUGCCAACCACAUCCAUAUGAGUUGGAAUUGCUGAUCCAGUUCCAGCUGAAAUUUUAUAAGAUCUCUCUAUCUCCCACCUUUUCCCCCAACCUUGCCCCACCACUUAGCAGCAGCAGGAGACAGUCAGACUCCUUACGGAUUGUAAGCAGACCUCUGGGUAAGACCUUAUUUCUCACUUCUCAUCAACAUGAUCUGAAAUUCAAACAACUUGCGAUCUCCUAAGCAAAGUUGCUAUUCGGUUGACUCUUCUUUCAAAGGUUGGUUUAUUUUUGCAAAUUAUGAUGAUAAUCUUGCUAGAGAAGAAAUGGGAAAUGUUUGUAAGAAUACCUGUCAAAGUUGUGACAGCUUGGUGACUCUAUGACUUUUACUAUUCGUUUUACUACGCUUGAGGGUACCAUGGCGGAAUAGUUGGUUUUUGGCAUGUGAUUUGCAUCUUCUUUGAUAUUUUGGAUGUUAUUAAGUGACUACUUUUCCUCUAAAGACAUAUUUUAUGUAAUAUGAUAAAAUGUUAAUGAUAAAUUGGUUUACAAUAGUGAGAAGUUAGUCAAA